UUGCCAGCACACAGCAUGGACAUGAAGGCCUCUGCUCAGUUCCUGGGGCUCCUGCUGCUCUGGAUUACAGGUACCAAAUGUGACAUCCAGAUGACCCAGUCUCCAUCCACUUUGUCUGCAUCUCCUGGAGACAGAGUCACCAUCACUUGCCGGGCCAGUCAGGGCAUUAACAGUUGGUUAAACUGGUACCAGCAGAAACCAGGGGGAGCUCCAAAGCUCCUGAUCUAUGGUGCAAACAUUUUACAAUCUGGGAUCCCCUCCAGAUUUAGUGGCAGUGGAUCUGGUACAGAGUACACUCUCACCAUCAGUAGCCUGCAGCCUGAAGACAUUGCCACUUAUUACUGUCAACAGAAUUAUAAUAACCCACCCACAGUGAUACAAGCCAUAACAUAAACCUCCAAGAAGCAGAA